rnacentral:rRNA from 1 species
GAUGAACGCCGGCGGCGUGCUUAACACAUGCAAGUCGAACGAGAAGUGAAGACGGAAACCUUCGGGCGGAAGGCUUUAUUUCGAGUGGCGGACGGGUGAGUAACGCGUGGGUAACCUGCCUCAUACAGGGGGAUAACAGUUGGAAACGACUGUUAAUACCGCAUAAGACCACAGCACCGCAUGGUGCGGGGGUAAAAACUCCGGUGGUAUGAGAUGGACCCGCGUUCGAUUAGCCAGUUGGCGGGGUAACGGCCCACCAAAGCGACGAUCGAUAGCCGAUCUGAGAGGAUGACCGGCCACAUUGGGACUGAGACACGGCCCAAACUCCUACGGGAGGCAGCAGUGGGGAAUAUUGCACAAUGGGGGAAACCCUGAUGCAGCGACGCCGCGUGAGUGAAGAAGUAUUUCGGUAUGUAAAGCUCUAUCAGCAGGGAAGAAAAUGACGGUACCUGAGUAAGAAGCCCCGGCUAACUACGUG